rnacentral:lncRNA from 1 species
GGGGUAUAAUGCUACUUUUACCAGAGCCAUUUCUACCCACAAGUGCCACUGUUUUCUUGGCGGGGACAGUUAGGUAAAAUCCACUUAAAAUAGGAAUUUCGGGACGAGAUAAGUAACUGAAAUACACGUUUCGAAAUUCGAUGUUCCCUUGGACGGUAGCAAGAGUGUUUCCGUUAUGAUCAACGGCGGAGGAUGAACGACUAAUCAUUUCGAAAAGUCGAUACGCAGCAAUUCUUCCUUGCUCAAAUGAAUAGAAGUUGGUUGCAGCUUGGCCACUUAAAAUGAUAGCAAACAAAGCGGUUAUAAUUUCUCCACCGUGAGCUUUCCUAUGUGUAACCAAAAACCGUCCAACGUAAAGUUGCAAGGCGCAAGAGCAGAUCGCAAGCCCGUACGUGAAUCCAAGCCCAAGUCCUUGCACAAGACUAAUUAAUAUACCAUAUCUUAGUGUAGCUUGUAGUGAAUUAGCAUAAGAAUACUUUGCUAAUGUUUCAUUUGUA